AAAAUAUAAUAAUCCACCUUGAAGUGUUCGUGGAUUAUGGGGAAGAACACAACAGGAAUGGUACAAUAUUGAACUACAAAUAAUUAAAAAUUUAAUUGACAGUAUGCCUCGUAGAUUAAAAGCAUUAAAAAAAAGUAAAGGAAAGUGGACGAAAUACUAGGUUGAAACCUUAAUUGGACGAGUAUAAUUAAAGUGCAAAACUGUAAACAUGCUUUGAGAUGUCCAUUUUUGUAAAAUGUUCUGUACAUUAUUAAUGUUAAUGAAAAUGAACUAUUACAUUUCGUUAAUCAGAUGCAGCUUCCUGCCACCGCCUGUCGUGGCACCCUGGCGAUAGAAACGACGUUCGCAGAGGGUAAAGCAAGUCUCUCCCUCUGCAUGGGUCUAAAAACCUUCAACCACCCACUCC
rnacentral:misc_RNA from 1 species